GUGCUCAUUUUGGCAGCUCAUGUACUAAAAUUGGAACAUACAGAGAGAUUAGCACGGCUCCUGCACAGAUGACAUGUAAACCCGUGAAGCCUGCCAUGUUUUA
rnacentral:snRNA from 1 species